GCGGAAUAAUAAGUCAGUUGUGAAAGUUUGCGGCUCAACCGUAAAAUUGCAGUUGAUACUGUUAUUCUUGAGUGUACAUAAGGUAGGCGGAAUUCGUGGUGUAGCGGUGAAAUGCUUAGAUAUCACGAAGAACUCCAAUUGCGAAGGCAGCUUACCGGGGUACAACUGACGCUGAGGCACGAAAGUGUGGGUAUCAAACAGGAUUAGAUACCCUGGUAGUCCACACAGUAAACGAUGAAUACUCGCUGUUUGCGAUAUACCGCAAGCGGCCGCGAAAGCAUUAAGUAUUCCACCUGGGGAGUACGCCGGCAACGGUGAAACUCAAAGGAAUAGACGGGGACCCGCACAAGCGGUGGAGCAUGUGGUUUAAUUCGAAGAUACACGAAGAACCUUACCUGGGCUUGAUUCCUAAGAAUCCUGUAGAGAUAUGGGAGUGCUAGUUUACUAGAACU
rnacentral:rRNA from 1 species